GGCAGCCUUCCCUCUAUGAGGAGGAGGUCCUAUCAGUGACUGGCAGCCUUCCCUCUAUAAGGAGGAGGUCCUAUCAGUGAUUGACAGCCUUCCCUCUAUGAGGAGGUGGUCCUAUCAGUGACGGACAGCCUUCCCACUAUGAGGAGGAGGUCCCAUCAGUGACUGACAGCCUUCCCUCUAUGAGGCGGUCCUAUCAGUGACUGACAGCCUUCCCUCUAUGAGGAGGAGGUCCCAUCAGUGACUGACAGCCUUCCCUCUAUGAGGAGGAGGUCCUAU